CCCGUACCCCAAACCGACUCAGGUGAUCAGGUAGAGAAUACUAAGGCGAUCGAGUGAACUAUGGUUAAGGAACUCGGCAAAAUGCCCCCGUAACUUCGGGAGAAGGGGGGCCGGAUUUGUUAUUGCACUUGCUGCAAAAAGCAAUGAUGGCCGCAGAGACCAGGCCCAAGCGACUGUUUACUAAAAACACAGGUCCGUGCGAAGUUGUAAGACGAUGUAUACGGACUGACUCCUGCCCGGUGCUGGAAGGUUAAGGGGACCUGUUAGAUCUUCGGAUCGAAGCGGAGAACUUAAGCCCCAGUAAACGGCGGUGGUAACUAUAACCAUCCUAAGGUAGCGAAAUUCCUUGUCGGGUAAGUUCCGACCUGCACGAAUGGAGUAACGACUUGGGCGCUGUCUCAACCAUAGACUCGGCGAAAUUGCACUACGAGUAAAGAUGCUCGUUACGCGCGGCAGGACGGAAAGACCCCGGGACCUUUACUAUAGUUUGGUAUUGGUGUUUGGUUCGAUUUGUGUAGGAUAGGUGGGAGACUUUGAAGCUUGGACGCCAGUUCAGGUGGAGUCAACGUUGAAAUACCACUCUGAUCGUAUUAGACAUCUAACCUAGGUCCAUUAUCUGGAUCAGGGACAGUGCCUGAUGGGUAGUUUAACUGGGGCGGUUGCCUCCUAAAAUGUAACGGAGGCGCUCAAAGGUUCCCUCAGCCUGGUUGGCAAUCAGGUUUCGAGUGUAAGUGCACAAGGGAGCUUGACUGUGAGAGUGACAACUCGAGCAGGGACGAAAGUCGGAACUAGUGAUCCGGCGCUGGCAUGUGGAAGCGGCGUCGCUCAACGGAUAAAAGGUACCCCGGGGAUAACAGGCUGAUCUUCCCCAAGAGUCCAUAUCGACGGGAUGGUUUGGCACCUCGAUGUCGGCUCGUCGCAUCCUGGGGCUGGAGUAGGUCCCAAGGGUUGGGCUGUUCGCCCAUUAAAGCGGCACGCGAGCUGGGUUUAGAACGUCGUGAGACAGUUCGGUCCCUAUCCGCCGCGCGCGCAGGAAACUUGAGAAAGGCUGUCCCUAGUACGAGAGGACCGGGAUGGACGAACCUCUGGUGUGCCAGUUGUUCCGCCAGGAGCACGGCUGGUUAGCUACGUUCGGAAGUGAUAACCGCUGAAAGCAUCUAAGCGGGAAGCACGUUUCAAGAUGAGGUUUCCCACCGGGUUAACCGGGUAAGGCCCCCAGUAGACGACUGGGUUGAUAGGCCGGAGGUGUACAGCAGUAAUGCCUAGCCGACCGGUACUAAUAGGCCGAGGGCUUGUCCCA
rnacentral:rRNA from 1 species